ACAACUAAAACCACAAUCUUUAAAAUAGGGGGUGACAGAAGGGGAGGUUCUGAUGUACCAGAUUCGGCUUUUAGAUGGCCAAAAAAGAAAUGAGGAGGAGAGAUUCCGGUGGAGGGAGGUAUGGGUGGAGGUGAGAACGACAAACACAAACAAUAACUACAACAUCACAAUGAUGAAAAUGGACCGAAUAGGUGAAGGAGUUUACAAGAACGAAA